rnacentral:rRNA from 1 species
UACGGGAGGCAGCAGUGGGGAAUAUUGGGCAAUGGGGGGAACCCUGACCGAGCAACGCCGCGUGAGUGAAGAAGGUUUUCGGAUCGUAAAGCUCUGUUGUAAGAGAAGAACGUGUGUGAGAGUGGAAAGUUCACACAGUGACGGUAGCUUACCAGAAAGGGACGGCUAACUACGUGCCAGCAGCCGCGGUAAU